rnacentral:tRNA from 1 species
GCGAAAGUGGCGGAAUUGGUAGACGCACUGGAUUUAGGUUCCAGCGCCGUAAGGUGUGUGGGUUCGAGUCCCUCCUUUCGCACCA